CCAAUUUGGUGUCAGAUUUCCACCGUUUCCUAAAAAUGCGUCCAAAAAUGCUCUUUUGUUGUUUGUUUCAUCGGAUAAAGGUGCAUAAUGCUUGCUACCGGUUUUCCUUCCAUAUGUUUUAGGCUUUACUUGCUUAGGUUUAUCAUGGGAUGGCGGUACUAAGUUAUUAUAGCGUUCUUUUCUCGAAAUGGAGAGAGCUAUAUGAUAAUCUUCAUGUUCAUUUCUUUCGGAUAAAGUAAUUUUCUGUUCGCAUUCUUCACACGUGUAAGUUUCAUCAGCUGAAUUCUCCGUUGGUUUAGAAACAGCGGUCUGUUGUAGCAUAUCAAAAAUCCCUUUACCUUUACCUCUUUUCAACCUUUUAGGUGACUUUAUAUCUUUUUCCGAAGAUAAUUCAAAAGAAUUAUUUUCCCUCAUAUUUUCGUUCAAUAAUUUAGCGCGUCCCUCAAUAGAAGGUGAAACAGAAGUAGACAUGUAGAUUUCAUCAUUGGACUUUUUUAAAAAACCCUCAAUUCCCCUAGAAUUACGAUCAACCUCUAUGAUGUUUUGAAAGCUAAUAGAUAAGUUUGAAAUCGGAUAUACAUCGAAUUCCUGUUGCAGUUGACGCAACAGUUUGGAUGUUGCUUCAACAAUAAACUGAGUGCUAAUAUCAACAUUCAUAGGUAUUUGACUUGACCUUGACUUUCUCAGAAAUCUUGAUACAACAGUCAAACAAAUGGUCUUGGGCCUUCUCAUUCCUUCAAGUUCAAGGAAUCGUGAUCGAAGAUCAGAUGCGAAUACUUGAAACCAGUUAAUUGCAUCUUCUUCAGACUUCACUUUUUGCUGAGAAAAAUUUUUAGCCGACAACAUUGAUUUAAUCUGAACUUGUGUAGUAAUCUCAGUGUUAUCAAUUCCAUGGCACAAAUUCCAAACGAGUGGACCGUUAGUUUGACCAAGCUUAUCUAUCAAAAAGUCCAUACUCAUAUUCCAAACAUCCUUAAUAGAAUCUGUUCCUAAUAAAUUAAUUAUU